rnacentral:rRNA from 1 species
AUUGAACGCUGGCGGCAUGCUUUACACAUGCAAGUCGGACGGCAGCACAGAGAAGCUUGCUUCUUGGGUGGCGAGUGGCGAACGGGUGAGUAAUAUAUCGGAACGUACCGAGCAGUGGGGGAUAACUAAUCGAAAGAUUAGCUAAUACCGCGUAUUUUCUGAGGAAGAAAGCAGGGGACCAUUUGGCCUUGCGCUGUUUGAGCGGCCGAUAUCUGAUUAGCUAGUUGGUGGGGUAAAGGCCUACCAAGGCGACGAUCAGUAGCGGGUCUGAGAGGAUGAUCCGCCACACUGGGACUGAGACACGGCCCAGACUCCUACGGGAGGCAGCAGUGGGGAAUUUUGGACAAUGGGCGCAAGCCUGAUCCAGCCAUGCCGCGUGUCUGAAGAAGGCCUUCGGGUUGUAAAGGACUUUUGUCAGGGAAGAAAAGGACAGGGUUAAUACCCCUGUCUGAUGACGGACCUGAAGAAUAAGCCCG